UUCAUUUUCUCUUUAAGUGAAAUAUAUACAAUUUAUAAUUUCAAGUGAUUUUUAAUUAAAAUAACAAAUUGCAUACUAUUCAAAAAAUUAUUCAAAAAUGUUCUUUCAAAUUCAGUUUUAUUAAACUUUUAAUAUUAAAAUGUAUUUUAGAAGAUUUAUGCUUACGAAUAUAAAAAAAUUAAAAUCACAUAGUUGUAGAUAUCAUUUUUAAAUGGAAUUUUAGAUUGUUUUAAUUAAUAUCAUAACAUUUUUAGUAAUCAAUCUAAAAUAAUUAUAACUAGUUGAAAACAAAAUCACUUUAAAUCUUUCCAGAUAUUAUAUUAAAUAGCUCUAUUUAUUUGUUGACAAAAAAAAAGUUGACAAGAAAGUAGCUCUCUUUAUUUAUUUGUUUUCAUUUUUUCAGUUCAUUGUAGUUAUUUUAAAUUAAUUAUGUUGCUUUUAUUUUACUUUCACUGUAAGUAAUCACAGUAGAAAUCUCGUCGACAUGUAAACAGUACCAUCAGCUUUAUGUUUAUAUUAUUUAAAACAAAAUCACUAAUAAACUAAAGAUAUAAGAUUCCCAACAAAAAAAAGAUAACUAUAAUAAGUGUGAAGGAAAGUGGUGGUUGUUAGGUGGUUCAACCAAACGCUGCCAACCCCCUUAAAACGGCGUUUCAUUCAUAACGUGUGUGUUUUCUCGAACAGUAACUAGUGUGUAAUUACGGGAAAAGGAAGUAAAGUCAUUUAUACAGCUGAAAGUUGAAACGUGGUGACACUUCUGUUCUGUCAAUACACGUGGGAGGUGCAUCGGGAAGACAAUUGUUUUUAUUGGUUACUGUGGGAUGGUGAAGUCACCGGGUUUUUCGGUUCCCGGUUAAAGCUAUUAUCCCAACAGAAACCCAUUGGUCCAUUGUUAAUUUCACUUUUUGUUUUAAAUAAGUGGGAAGAGUUAGGUUGGGUACAAUGAUUAGUUUUGUGAAGUCAGCGAAAACGAAAGUUGUACCAAUGUGGCUCGGUUUCAAUAAUUCUUAAAACCUGUUAAGUUUAGUUCCGGUUUAUCUCCUCUAUAACCGACUUUGACCGGUUCUGCUUGGUUUUUACUUUUUAGUUUUCAAAAUCUCUGUAGUAGUAUAUUCGAAAUUCGAGUGGACCACCCCAAAAAUAAUUAUAAUAAACAAAACACUUGCUGUGAGGUUUUUAAGAAAAUUGUAUAAUUAAUGUAGAGAAACCCAUUUGAGUUGUAAACUUUUCCUUAUUUCUUGAAAAAUUAUAACAAAUACCACAUUCGUAGUAUCAUUUUUCAUAUUUACACUAAUCACUAUUAUUUUCACUUUUAAUGAAGAAUAAAAGACAUUUAUAUAUCUAAGGUUAACUAAUAUAGACUUAGGGUUUAAAGUUUAGGAGUAGGAUGGAGGUUUUGGAAUAUGAAAUUUAGUAUUCUAAUAAACAUAUCAAUAAAUAUUUUAAAAAAUAUAAAAAAAAUUUAAAAUAGUUUCAAAGAUAACUUUUGAUUUUCAAAAAGAAAUUUUUUAAAAAAAAAUUCAAAACAAAACUAUAAAAAAUUUGAAUUUGAAAACAUAAAAAAAUUACUUUUAUAUUUUUAAAUAAUUAUUUAUUUUAUAUAUAUAUAUAUAUAUAGUGAACAAAAGUAUAAGACUCUUUUCCACUUAAUGAAGAAUGUAUUUUUGAAAUUUCCCCUUAUUUCUUUGUAUACCAAAUUAAUUAUGUAUGGUUAAUCAUUUAGUUUAAUCUCUUAUCCUAAUUAUGUUUCAUGUUAUUUUAAAUAAUAUAGAAUAGUGUAAUGUCUAAUAAUUAAUUAUGUCAAAUAUUCCUAUUUUGCUAUGGUUUAUUUUCCUAAUUUUCUCUUAUGAUUUUAUUUCUACUUUUUUCUUAAAGCGCACAUACUUUAAACAAGCAAAAAUAAAAUUUAUAGAUUCAGAGUUGAAAUUUUUUUAUGUAAUUUGUAGAUUUAAAAUCACAGGUGUGCAUUUGAUAAUGUUCAACAUAAAUUAAUAUGUAUGUCAUAAUUAGGAGUGUUCAAUCCGGUAAAGCCGAACCGAAAUUAAAAAAAACUGUUUUGGAUUUAGUAGUACCGAAUAUACCGAAUGAAAGUCAUUUUUAAGAAACUGCGGUAUAUAGACAUGGUUUGGUAUAUAAAUUGAUCAAAUCGAAUAAACCGAAUUAAAAUAUAGUAGUAUAAUUAUAUGUAAACUAUAUAAGAUAAUUAAGAAUAUAUUUACAUAAUGUACUUUAUUGAUAUGAUCUUCAUAUUUAAAAUUUUUAUUUUCGUAAUUUAGAAGUUAUGUUUCGUUUUUAUCAAAUUAAAUAAAACAAAAAUUUUACCUUUUUGUUAACAAAUAUGUAUGUUAAUAUUUAGUUAUUUAUAAUAUUAUGGAUUACUAAGUUUUAUUAUUUUUAUUCUAUAAAAACUAUUAUAUUAUUAACUUAAUAUUUUUUUACUAAUUGUUUUAAAUAGUAAAGAAAAAGAUUAUUUAAAACCGAAAUAUCUUCACUUUAUAUAAAAACCGACAUCUAGUAAAAUUCAUAAAGUAAGAUAAGUAAAUUUAUGAUUUUUUGUAUAAAACCGAAUAAACCAAAAACCGACGAUAUAUAAACCAAACUAAAGCAAAGUAAAUAUGAUUUUAAUAUGGUAGUUAUUUUUUAUACAUCAAAAUAUUAAAAAACCAAAAAAAAAUCAAACUGAAACCAAACCGAUAUGCGGAUUGAACAUCCAUAAUCAUAAUUGUAUUUAAAUCUGACAUCUAAAUUAAUAAAGUAGAAAUGGAAAACAAAAAAAUUCAACACUAAUAUAUCAAUUAUCAAGUGUCAUAGUGUGUGUAUCUACUCUAUUAAAAUAUAAUCUUAUUUUUAUCUACUGUAAAAAAAGUUGUUAGACCAAUCCACUAGAAACUUAAUAUAUAUUACUUAAUAUUUAAAAAAAUCGAAAGGAUAUUAUUAUCCUACAUCGUGGAUAUUGUGAAUGUGAUCUUAACAAUAGUUUGUUAAAUAUUAUAUAAUUAAAUAGUAAAUACAUUUAUUUGAAAGAAAAAUAUAUCUAGUUUACAUAAUCUUAGGUAUAUAUAUAUUAUAUUUAUUGUAUACAUAUCUACAUAAGUUUUUGCAUCUAAAUACAUACAUAAUAUUUUGGGAUCCCGUGUUUUAUUUGAAACAAAAAAUGUUGUUAUAAGAAUAUAAUAAUAGUAGAACAUAUGAAAUUUUUUAAAAUAGACUAUGAAAACUAUAUAUUGAUGAAGGUUUAAAUUAUUGUAACAAAAAAGUAAAAAUUCACCUAUAUUUUAGUUAUAUUAUAUAUAACAUUUUUUUAAUAAAUUCAGUUACAUUACUAUUAUUUUAAAUUUUGUAAUAAAAAUGAAAACAAUAUCCGUGCAUCCGCGCGGCUUAAAAUCUAGUUUUUAGUUAAAAUUGGACUAAGCCUAUGUCAAUAUUUGUUUUUCAAAUCCACCGAGGAAUAACUGAAUAAGUUACCUACUACUCCUUCCGUUUUUUAAUAUAAGUUGUUUUAGAAUUAUGCACAUAGAUUAAGAAAAUCAUUAAUUUUUUAUAUUUUCUAAACAAAAACAUCAUUAAUUAUUUACAUAACCACAAAUCAACCAAUAAUAAAACAGAAGGUAUAUUAUCAUUGGUAAUAUAAUAUUAAGUGUUAAUAAAUUUUACAUAAAAAAUCAAAAACAUCAUAUAAUUUGAAACAUAAAUGUUUUUCUAAAACGACUUAUAUUAGAAACAGAGGCAGUAUUUUGUAUUGCUAAGCUUAUACUAUACAUAUUUAUGUGUCUGUGUGUUUCCUCGCAAUUGCUUUAUAUAAUUAUUUUAUGAAAUACAUACAUAUGCAUAUUAUACUAUAUAGGCUAUUAUCCAGUUAAGAAGCAAAUCAUUAAUAUAUUAUAUGCAUUAUCCAGUUAGGAUGUGAUAUUUUAGAUAACAUUAUUAGUAAGAAUAAAGUAUUUUUGUUUUUAGAUCUUUGUGAUGUGGGUUAUGACAUGUAUAUGCAUUUCGUAUAUAUAAUAUGUAAAUAAGUUGUGACUUAGUCAAUCGACCAUUAGGUGGACCGUCAACUAUAUAUCAUAUAGUUUUCGAUAGAUUUACAGAUGUACCUAUGUGCCAUGUACUAAUGUUUAUAUGAUAAUUAACGGAUGUGAUGGUGAAACUAAUAAUGAUUUUUAGGAAAGAGAUAUUCAGAUAACAGUUGGUUGAUAACUAAUAAGGAAGAUGAUGCGCGAUACAUCAUACAUGCAUAUUCUGGCCACAAGUCAACCCUCUUAGGCUCUGACUAAUCGCACCCUUGCCAAUGUUUUAGAUGAUUUUAAAACACUGGUUGUCGCCUCGUCGGUAGUUGCUACCACUAUGUAUAUGCGUUUAAACAGUUACUCAUGUCAUGUCUUACAAUUACAUGCAAGUACUUGACAUUUACGUUAAUUUUAAGAGAUUAAAUGGGGGUAUAUCGUAUCCCUAAGACGUACGACGGGACCAACACACACAUAGUGAUAGUGACGACCAAUUUUUUGAUGGAUAUAUAUAAUCUUGUAAUCUUUUACGCUAAAUGAAAUUUCAGUGAUCAAACAAAAAAAGAAGAUAAGAUACAUCUAUAAGUACAAAAGUAUAUUUCAUAUCUUUGGUACUUUUACUCUUAUAUUACUUUUAUUAUUGAUAGUCUUAUCAUCAUCAUCAACAUUAUAAUAAUCUGGUAUGGUAUAAUGUGUAUGCUAAGUAAUAUGCUAAGUAUUAUAAUUUCCAUAAAUGUAAUACGAUUAAGAAAAUUAGCAUCGUCUUCAUGCUAUUGUUCUGGGUGUACAACAUGAUAUAUGAAUGAUAUAUCCUAUUCCAAUAUCACUUUUGGAAAAAAACUAGGAUGCUAUAUGAAUUGAUGCUCUUAACAAUUUUAAGUUCUUGCAGCUUAAAAUAUAUAAUAAUCCCAGUGAUGAUAUAAUAUAGUAUAUUAAAAAAUCAUAAUUUCUGAAUGAUUUGAAAUGGUCAUAUGAUUGUCUUCAAGUGGUGAUAGAAAAAAAAUUAGUAUAUUAAAAUGACACGUUAUGGUGGUACAAUAAAAGAUAUAGUAUCGAAAAUAGCAUAUCAGUUAUUAUUCUACAAAAUAAAUAUCAAAAAUAUUAACUGAACAUGCACAAUAGUUUUUAUAAAAUCAAAAAUAUAUUGUUCAAUGGUUAGAAGAUGAUGGCUUACUAUUGAACGCAAUUUAACAUGCUUUGAACUCAGGUUCAACCUGCUUCCAAUCCAAUCAUAAAUCUGACCAAAAAAGUUAUGAACUAUAUGAAGAAGUUUGAUGUUCUUUAAUGUGUUUCAAACUUUGAAUUAGAAAAAUUAUGGGUCAAAUCUCUUACUAAAAAGGAAAAACAUGGUAAUUACAAGUGUUUGUGUCUUUCCGCAUAUUUGUCUGUUGCUUUCAUAAUUUUACAAGACAAUGACCAACAUAUCUUUUCACAAUUUUAGUUGACCGCCUUUUCUCCUUAGAACCAUUUGUUUGACUAACUUUUUUGUAUUAACUAGAAGAUAGUCUAGAUUUUAAUACUUGAUUAACUCUUUAAAAUGGAUAUAACUAGCAAAUAGUUCAUUCGCCAAUUUUCCAACAGGUCAAAAGCUUAACACUAAAACUGCUAAAAGUGAUUAAAAUAAGUUAUCCCUGAUUUGAAUCUAUGUUUUGUGCAAAGAUUGAUUCCAUUUUCUUUCUUUUUUUCAAAAAAAAAAAAACAAGAUUGGUUCCAUUUAUCAAACUGUAUGGCCCAUUUAACCAGAGUUUUGCAAUUUUAUCUGUACAAAUGUUGGUCUCUCUAGAUUUUUGACGUAGGAUUCUCAUCUUAUAAAGGAUGGUUUCAUAAAACUGAUUCCAAUCGCAUAUUAGUUAGAUAGAAAUGAUCAAGUAGAUUCUAUUCUUUUGCUUUACGUUUUGAUGUCAAAAAGAACCGCUGACAUCGAAUAAUGUUUAACUGCCGUCACUUUACCCGCGUUUUCACAUUAUUCCUAACCAACAAAAGAAAUUGAAAAAAUGGAUUAAAAAUAAUUUGAUAAUAAUAUAACAAAAUGGUGAAUAUUGGACAAUUAAACAAACUGAUAGUCCACACAAUCCACACAAAAAUCAAAGUAGUACUGUGUUGAUGACGGCCGCAGCACAUACUUUAUUCUCAUUAUUAAAUUUAAAACUUAAAUCAUUUCUGACCAAACUAUAUGAAGAAGUUUGAUGUUAUUUUUUCGUCAAAAUAUUAACAUCUAAUUUCAAAUGCGAUAGUUUCUAAGGUUUUUGUAUAUUAUGAGAAUAAUAGUAACAUUUCUAGUGACAUGAAAAAUAAACGGACAAAUUAUUAUUUGGCUAUUAAAUAGUGGGUUCACUUAUAAAAAUGUACCGUUUUGUAUAAAACAAUUACAUGAAAUUUUACAUGAAAUUUUCUUGUUAUAAUCAUGUCUGACAAUGUUAAAAAAAAGGUAGUGGGUGAUCCCUUCCUAAAGAGAAAAUGUGAAAGUCUGGAUGACGACGUGACGUGUUUAUCUAAAUUAGCAGUAGAUUCGAAUUAAGGUUUUUAGAGAUCCACAGAAUGUCUUGUGCCAUCCGACUAUCGAAACAUGGUUAUGUUUGACAAUAUAUAUAGCGCUCGGAUAUGUUCCCUUGUAUAUGUGUGAUUGUUAUUAUCGAAUUAAAAUUUAAUUAACGAGAAUAAUAAAUACACGUAAGUUUUUUUCUUCCAUUCAAAGAACUAUAUACACAAAUUCGUAUUAGGUUGAUAAUGAUCAAGAACACUGAACUCGCACCAAAUUAUAGCAAAAGCCAAUUCGUUACCACCAAUUUUGAAUAUUUGUCUUUAAUUCAACGGACAACGUUACUUACGUGUCUUCAUUUUUUUUGUUCAACACUUUCGCGUCUUCAUAUCAUAAAACUGGCAUAAGAAAACUAUGAAGUUGUUUACUUGUUUUAAUCAUCAAUGGCCAGAAAUUGAGUGACACUUUGAAGGCCACAUAUCUCUACUUGUUAGCCUAAAGACAAACCAAACCUUUUCGUUCGCCACAAAGCAUAAAGAAAAAGAAAAAAAUGAAAUAAAUUUAAAUCUUUGUUUGUUUUAUUUCUCUAUCUUGAUUGUUCAGUAUGAACAAACGAUCAACUUAGGGAGGUAUGAAUGUAAUUUCUCUUUGAGAAAGAGGCCAAAUAUGAAACAAGUAAAUAUGAUUGCAGAUAUUCGAGAAAUAAAAGUGGUCGUAGAUGUUGGGCCUAACUGGCUCAGUCUCUCUACUAAAUAGAGCAGGCCUACACUGGAAUCAUAGCAUGAUUGUUUCUCAUUUUCUUGAGAUAAAAAUAAAAACAAGAAAUUAUGAUGUUUUUGUAGAAAUAGCCUUAAAGUAUUUAUGGAUCAUAGCUUGUUGUCUAGCGGUGUCUAAUAGAAUCCAUUCAAUAAAAUAUAGUUUUUUUAACAACAAUAAAAUAUAGUUUAAAAGCAUAUAUGCUGGUUACUAAUUAAAAGUAGUCCAAACUUUGAUGAAAACUAUUCAAACGAUUUGCCUCAUCUGCCCCAUAUCAUCUAGAGACCAUGUAUCCCCCCUCAAAGACAAUAUGGACUGCACAAUGAAUUUAUAUUAAAUACUAGGGUCGGUCCGUCAUACGGGCGGGAUAUACUUUACUGAUGAACUAAAUUAUUAUUUUUAUAUGAUUUUGUGAUUUGUGUUUUAAGUUUGAAUUUGAAGAGAUGUGUAUGAUAACACAACAAAAAAACAUAUUAUAUUACAUAAAUAGUAUCAGAAAAAAAAAUGAUACCAAUUUGAAACACUUAUUAAUAAAUGAUACAAAAUAUUAAUUUUAACAUCAAUUAUUAUAAUUUAUGUUGUUAUUAGCUUAUCUUUGCCUAUAUUAAUCUCUGUCAAGCAAGUGAAGAUCAAUUAAAAGAUCUAUUGUAUUUUCAUAUACGUGUAAAAAUAUGCAGUUUACUCUAAACUAAGAAUAAUUUUUUUUAUUGUUUCUUUUGUUCUUAUUAGAAAUCAAAGGUUUGAUAAAUUAAUAAAAAGAUUUUAUUUUUUAUUUAAUGUAAUUAUUUUGAUCUUUAGUGUUUGUUAUAUCUUUAUUUUAAAAGUAAGUAAAAUAAAAAUACUUGUCACUACAGUUGAAAUUCAAUACAAAUUAUGAAUUAUUUUUCAUUCUUAUAUAUUUGUUUUUGAAUGUGUUGAUAUUUUUUAUACAUUUUUAAACUUAUUGAUUUGGAUGAUGUGAAAAAUGAAUGAAAAUAUACAAUUAUAUAAUUAUAUAGAUCACGGCCUAGGACUCGAAGAAUGAAUAAAAAAAUACUCAUAUGAAUAAAAAGGAAAAUACUCUUGGGGCCUAGGAUGUUAUGUUGUUAAUGAAAAAUCCUCUUGUCUAGUAGUUUUACAUAGUUUCUUUGUUUAUUCAACUGUAAUUAUGAUAAUUUUAUAAUAAGUAAAAUAAUUAUUUUCGUACAAAAUCUUGGAUUAUCUUUUUUCUUAUGAAUAUUUUUAUAAUUUAUGUAUUUGAUAUUAUAUUAUUAAUUGUGUGCUAAAAUUUUGUUUUACAUUAACGUCAAGUGUUUUGUUAGAUCUAAAAUAAAAUAUUGAUCAAAAACAUAUUCUGUAUUAAUAAAUAUUUUACCAAUAAAUUUGGUUUAAGACAAUAAGAUGAUGAAAAUGUCGAAUAUUUAAUAAACUUUUAAAAAUUAUAGUGUUAAAUUUUUACACAACUUCUCUUGAUAAAAUAUCAUCACGAAAAUAAAAGAUUCAGCUUUAUUAAUUGUGUAACAUUAUUUUUUUGUAACUAUUAUAUUCAUAUUGUAUUAGUUCUAAUUGUUUAAAUCCGAAAUAGGAGGUACGGUUGGACGAAAUGUUUUUCAAAUGUGUCAACGCUCUGAGUUUUUUUAUUAGGUUAGCAGAUGUCAUUUGUCGAGAAGAGAGUAUACAUGUUAUGUGAAAUAGACGGCAAAAAAAUAUGUUAUGGGAAAUGUGUCUACGUUGUAGGAGUUUAAUCUGAUCUUGUUUUAAUAAUUUGUAAUUGUACUGUGAACUUUCACGUAAUGUAAUUUAUUUUGAAAGUCUUUCCUCAAAUCUCCCAUCAGGUUUCAAAAUUUUAAUGGCAACAGGGGUGUGAUCAAGUAUGCCUUACUGGUCUGUAUCCCCCUUUUCUUACUUUUCUGUUGCUAGCUCGGAAUCUGUUAGUGACUUCUUCUGUCUUUUCUAUAUAGUAUCUUCUGUACCAGAUGUUCUUUUUUUUUUUGAACAAUUGUACCGGAUGUUCUUAUGUGCGAAAAGCACUAAAUGAAAGAAUGUACUAUAUUUUAACACCACUACCCCCAAGAGUCAUCAUCCCAUCUUCUAGUUUACCAGUAUCAAAAUUUGGACAGCUAACGAACAUGAAUUUCUUACAACUAUCAAAAUUUCACAUGGAAUAUUUUAAAUUGAUAUUAUUUCCUAUGGACGGGUAAUCAAAUCAUCAAAAUAAAUACAUUACAAAUAUUUUAUUCUGUUUUCAACAUAAAAUUUUUGACCAACAAAAAAAAAUUCACUUUAAAGUAAAUUAUUUUUCAUUGUUUUUAAUUUAUUUUCCUUUUUUUCAACUUUUGAAAUCAUAUAUUUGUUUAACCAUUAAAAAUAUGUGAAAAUGUAAUGUUUCACUGUAUUGUCAUUGUUAAUUGUCAUUGUUAGUCCUCUCCCGCCUCCUGAAUAAAGCAGCAUUGUCGUGUAGCUUUGGUUACCAUCCUACUUGCUCUGAGGUUAAUCUUACACACCUAAGCUUUGCAGAUGAUAUCAUGGUUUUUACUGAUGGUAAUCCUAGCUCACUUCAAGGAAUCUUUGAUGUUUUGGAUGAUUUUGAAGCACUCUCUGGACUUAAAAUAAAUCCGGCUAAAUCAUCUAUCUACAUGGCUGGCAGAAUCACUCAAUCGUUCCAAAAUGAAGUUCAGCGUCUCUGCAUUCCCGCUGAUACUCUUCCUGUCCGGUACCUGGGGCUCCCUCUCACUACUAUAUCAAUGACUCGUGAUGACUAUGAACCUCUCAUAGACAAGAUCAGAACGAGACUCCUGUCUUGGUCGAGUAAAUCUUUGUCGUAUGAAGGCCGACUUCAACUUAUAAACUUUGUGAUAAUGAGCAUAACAAAUUUCUGGUGCUCGGUUUUCAAACUUCCUGAAAGAUGUCUUGAAGAAAUUGAGAGAAUGUGUAGUGGCUUUCUCUGGUCUGGUACACCAACCUCGAACACGCAAGCCAAAGUAGCUUGGGAUGAUGUCUGCAAGCCUAAGUCAGAGGGGGGACUUGGAAUCAGACGUCUGGCUGACUCGUCUCGGGUCUUUGCACUGAGCUUAAUAUGGAGAUUGCUUACUAACUCAGGCUCCCUCUGGGUUGCUUGGACACGGGCCAAUCUUCUGCGUCGUUGCUGCUUUUGGGAUGUAAGUGAUCGGUACGCAGGCUCUUGGAUUUGGCGGAAAUUACUGAAACUUCGUGGACAAGCCAUGGCGUUCCUCCGCUCAGAGAUUGUAAACAGUAAUAAUACUCUGUUCUGGUUUGAUAACUGGUUAAACAUGGGGAGACUACUUGAUGUUGCAGGAGAUUCCGGAAGGAGAACACUGGGAAUCACUCGCUAUGCAACGGUCGCCAAUGUAGCUUCUUCUGGACAGUGGAACUUAAGACGAUGUCGUGGGUAUCACCUACGGGCGAUGAUAGCACCCAUCUCUUCUGUUCCGCCACCGGUCGAGGGUGCAGGAAGCGACCGUAUCCUCUGGCGACAUGCUGAUGAUGAUUACAAAACUUGGUUCUCCUCGAAAAGAACUUGGGAGCAAAUCCGACAAUGGAGCAAUGAAGUGAACUGGUGCGCUCUGGUUUGGUUUCCACAAGCCAUUCCUCGUUUCUCAUUCAUUGUGUGGUUAGCUUUCCGAAACCGGCUUUCAACAGGAGAUCAGACAAGACUGUGGGGUGAAAACCAAGCUUGUCGCCUCUUUGGAGAACCGAAUGAGACUCGCGACCACCUUUUCUUUGCUUGUCCAUACUCAUACACCAUCUGGACAGAACUUACUAAAGCCAUCUUGCCACGCCCUACUCCUGAUUGGAACUUCACGGUGACAACACUCCUUUCUCUUAAACGUAGUGCUGUUGAUAUGUGCCUUCUUCGUUUGACAUUCCAAACAGUUAUCCAUGGAAUUUGGUGCGAAAGAAACAAUAGGAAGCAUAAUACUACAUAUCGUACUGCAUCAGACCUCAUUCGCAUAAUGGAUAAAACCAUUAGAAACAGAGUGUCCUCCUUACGUUUCAAGAAUGUGGUUUUCUACGGAAGCAUGAUGAUUAGGUGGCUGGAGCGAAGCAUUUAGAAAAGGCUCGCAAGUCUCGUAUCCAAUUCAAGUUUUAUGCAAGUUUUGUAAUCCUACCAAAUAUUCAGUAUUGUAAACAUUUUUUCUUUUGUUAAUAAAUAAAUUUAACAUUUGAAAAAAAAAUAAAUAUUAUAUUUUGACUAAAAGUUCAAGUAAACAGAUUAGAAACAAAACUUGAUCGAACCAAACCACAUGAAUAAUCUAGUUUUCAUAACAUAGCAGCUAAUAACAGAGAAAAAAUGUAGUAAACCAGGUUGGUCAGUGUCUAAAAUAAAAAGAGAGAUUAGUAAAUAAAUAGAAAUAAAAGGAUCAGAAACGAAAACAAAAACUGAUUUAAAAAAACGCUUUUUCAAUGUCCGUCUCACUGUUUCCACGAUUCACGCCUUGACCAUCCCAAUUUAUCGUAGAGAGGAGCUCUGAGAACGAUUCGCUGAGAGAGAGAGAGAGAGAGAGAGAGAGAGAUGAGUUUCCAAGAUUUGGAAGCUGGAAGAGGAAGAUCGAGGAAGAUCAAUGGUGGCCGGCAAGAUUCGACGCAAGCCGUGGCUUCGGGAAUAUUCCAGAUCAAUACCGGAGUUUCCACGUUUCAGCGGCUCGUUAACACGCUCGGUACUCCCAGAGACACGCCCGAGCUCCGUGAUAAGCUGCACAAGACACGGUUGCAUAUAGGGCAGCUUGUGAAGGACACGUCAGCUAAACUUAAGGAAGCUAGUGAAACUGAUCAUCAAACUGGUGUCAAUGUAAAAGUUUUAAUCUUUCUUCUUUUUUGAUUUUAUGUGAAUCUUAUCAAGUAGUAGUUUUGUUGUUAGAGUUAGUGUUUGGUAAAUGUGUAGCCAAGUAAGAAGAUAGCAGAUGCUAAGCUUGCAAAGGACUUUCAAGCUGUGUUGAAAGAGUUUCAGAAAGCUCAGCAAACUGCUGCUGAACGAGAAACUGCUUAUGCUCCUUUGGUGCCUCCUUCUGCUCAUCCCUCUAGCUAUUCAGCGGGUGAAGCAGAUAAGAUCUCGGAACAGCGGGCGCAAGUUAUGGAGUC